CUCUCUCUCUUUUUCUCUUUCUUUAGUAUAAAAUAUCACAUUGAUUUCCUCCCCGCCCCUCCUUGUGUCUUAUGAAGGAAGAAAUUUAUGGCCUUUUUACGUCAGGAAGUCUAGCUUUUCCUGACAUUUUAUUGCUUUGAAUAUUUGAAACAUUUCAAUCCCAGACAAUAAAUAUUACAUGAUUAUUGUUUUCAUAUGGAUAGGCUAUUUCCCCCUGGUUUUCCUAUCCAACUUUUUUACUAGCAAGUGACACCCAAAAAUUUAUGGAUACUAAAAACAUUACUGUUCAACCUUGCUAGGAAGGUCAGAGAUGGUCCCUCAGUUUGCAUGCGAUAUAUAGGGAAAACGAAGUUAAAAUAACCUCGUAUGUUUUGAAUCCUGUAGUGAUACAAACUUACAGCAAAAAAGAAGGUAUGAUAUUUUUUCUUUCAGAAAAGUGUUUGUAUUAUAGGUCAAGCCUUGUUUCCAAUGAAUUAAAUGAUAGCCCUUGAGGUGUAGGUGGGAAGAGUUGUGAACCCCAACUGAGCGUUUCCCAAAUCAGCAACUGGUAGCUUGCAGGUGCAGAGUUUAAGAGUUUUACUUGAAGUUGGUGGGAUGGGUUAUACGCUUUCGUAACUCAAAGUGUAGGUUUUCUGCUCACCCAGGUCAGCAUCUUGUUGCUCUCAUGGUGAAAAGAAUUCCAUGUCAAGUGGGAAUUGUGAAGUCCAAUCUGAGGUUACACUUUUUAAUGCUUUCUAUUUGGGAGAAGGCAGCUGGCUCUUUGCUAUAUGUAUGGAUGAUCAACUCUGCAGUAUGAACCAUGGUGACCAAGUCUGUCUUGCAGUCCCAGGUUUGAUUUGAUAACCAGUAGAUAAAGCAAUAUCUGAAUUUGAUUUGAAAAAUAAAAAAAAAAAAAGAAAUCUCUGGUCAAGUAGCUAUGAUUAUAACAGGCACAGAUUCCACUCAGAAGCACUAGAUUGUCUAAUUUUUUUUAUAUUGACAGUUUCUUAUGGAUACCAUGCAGGACCCCACUGCCCAUGCUCCAUUAACCGUUGUAUUGUCAAUGGCUUCAUAUUGAUCUUGGUUGAAAAACUGGGUCCUAGAUAACCAAUAAAUCUCCCUCUUCCUGUCAUUUCCUUAUUGAAUGUUUCAUCCAAACUCAGCAAUGUCAAUAAAACUCUGAAGAGAGUAAUCCUAAUGUGUUUCAGGAGGAGGCAAGCUGUCAAAUUGUGGAGGCGGUAAAUGUAUGUUUAGGUCUUUGGGAGUUUAUCUUCAGAGAUGCAUCAGAUCACUCUCAGGCUGGAUAAAGGUUUGGUACAGGGAUAAGCAAAAAGACAAAACCUAUCAAAGUUUUUAACUGCAGCAAUGCCUGUGAGCUGGUGGUUCUUUCUCUCCUUGCCUUUCUCUCCCUUUGCAGACAAAGGGACCUAGAGUCUAAAUCCACGGAGAAAGAAACACCAUUAAGUACUUAUUUAAAGUCUUAUCGAAGUGUUGUGUCUUUACCCUCCCUCCUGUCUUAUCCUCUUUUGGGAAUGUUGAAAAUAACAUUCAGUUCUGUGCUGCCUUUGUCUGUCCUCCAUGUGGUAAACAUGGACCUUUCCCUCCUUGUUUCUUACAGACUUUCAGCCAGCUCAGCUUUUCCUGUUUACCUCCUUGUCAAAGGCAUCAUUGAUGAUCCAAGUCUAGAAAUAAGGGGUUUGCUGCUUUUCCUAACUACCUGCUGCUUCAUUUUGUAUCAUACCGAUUUUGCAUCAUAUCAGAUUUGGCACAGCUACUGAAUUGUUUAUUUAUUUUUUAAGGAAAGCAGAUGCUUUUUUCUCCCCUUACCAACAGAUGCUGAAGGUGAAGGCACUGAAAUGGCUUUCUGGAAACCUGGGCUCCCAUCCAGACCUCCCAGUGCCUCAACUCAUUAUAGCUGUAUCAUGGGAAUUAAUUUGUGGACCUGGUCUUUUUAAAAUAGUAAUGAUAGUAAUGAUAAUGAGAAGCCUAUAGGCCCCAAAAUUCAGAUGAAAAGAUGUUGAUAUGGAAGCUGCAGUAGGUCUGCAACUGAAAAAGUGACCACUGCAGCUUUGCAAAACCUGUUUUCUUCUUCUUGCAGAGACGGACAUGAGUGCAGCAGAGCAGCUGCUUCAAAAGCAGUGUUUGUUUCUUCUGAUUUGGAAACCCCAAAUAUUUUAGUGCCUUGGGAAGACACUGAGUCCUGAUAAAGGCAGUCACUGGCUCAGAGUUCCUUUUGUGGUUUGCACACAGUUCUUAUACUCUAUGCCAUAGAAAGCAAAGAAAUUAAAAGCGUGAUUUCACGUAAACCCUCCAUAGUUAAUAAAACAGGCUCUGAUUUAAUCUCUCCCAAUCUGUGAUUUGGCACCAAACGGUAAAGGUAGCACAUGUAAGGCAAUAUUUGAGUUCUUGACUGGUGAUAUUUGUAAAUCUACAACAAGCCCCUCAUGAAAGCACCAGCUUCAUGGCUGAAAUCAGAAUUUCAGGUUUUCAUUUAAGAAAGGAAGGUGCUGCUUUCAGAGCACCGCUGGGACCUGUGCAUACCCACUUUACUGAGGUCUGGCUGAUGCCACUGGCAGCUGGGAAGAAUACCUCUAUGAAGAAGAAAACAAUCCAUUUUCUCAGCAAAGUAUCAGGAAACACCUACUUGUCCUCAAACCCUUACAUUGCUAAUUACGUGCUGUCUUGCCAACAUCCCUGCAUUUGCAAGGACCAGGGGCAGCAUCUAUCACCCACCUGAUCUGAAGCUGGCUUGAUAGUGGCAUAAUUAGAGCACACCCUUACAGGAGGGCUGUAACUAGGAAUGUUUUCCUGAGGUCUACGUGAUCAAGAAAGAAGAAAAAAAAAGAAAAGCCUAUGGACAUCUAGGAAGGAAAGAGAGUGGUGCUCUACAGCCAUCAGUGAGCCUUGCUCGCUAGAGCUAAUACCCUUACCCUUGGGUCCCUCGCCAUUUUAUUACUGCUCUGUAACAGGAUGUGCAACUGCUCUGCAUUAAUACGUUAUUACAGAUUGGCUAGUGUAAACUCCAGGUGUUGAGAACAUGAUUUAUUCUAUUAGUAUAAAAAGGUGUUUUCUAUGGCCAUAUUAAAAAUUAUACUAACUGUUGGGCUUGCCACCGCACUGUGUGUGGCACAUGCCAAUUUAAACCUGUCAUUUCCUCUAAUGUAAGGAUAUGUCCACAGAAGAUCAUUAAUUUGGGGUGGAGUUGGGGAUCAUGGUACAGCUGUGGCCUAUUAACCCCCACCUGGCUCUUAAUUCCUGCAAUGCACCUUCCCCAAAGAUGUCUGCUACUGCCAUAUAGUCACUGAAGUGGAGACCAAAGAAAUUAUAUUUUUGUGUGUAUUUUAUAUUUAAAUCUAUUUUACAUUGCAUUUUUAAUUUGGAGUGAAUUUUACUAUUAUGGGAUGUAUGAACCAAGUAACCCAUAGAGCUUAUUUGUAGUGAAUUCACUAUUUAGCAGACUGCGCAAUUGUAAAGAGCUAUACAAGAGCCCAGAAUGUUUCCUUUAUAUUCCCCUGGGCUUAUCCCAAAGCAGCACAUAUUCCUGCAAGCACCGCUGGGAUGAGCAGGCAUGGGCUUGUAUUCCUCCUGAUAGGGCUUCCCUCUCCCAGAGGGGUCCUGGUCAUGGAUUAGACUGGGCGGCUGGGGAUUCAGUCUCUGUGGGUUAUAUGUUUUGUGUGUGUGUAUGAAGGCAGUGGAGUGACUUCAGCCUGUCCCAGAUGACUCCUAAACCCCCAGGAUUAGCCAUGUAAUACUCUUGCUGAGAACCCCCAAAUCAUCUCUGUGCUGCCUCCCCUCCACAUCUUUCUUUGGGGGAUUUUACCAUUUUACUUUCCCACUCUUAAAUGCUGUUAACUUUGCUGGGCUUUACACUCAACCCCAAUAAGCCAAAGGCCUGGCUUACUUUCCCAAUGCAGCCUGGCAAAUGUCAAAAUCAGUAUGUUUGGGAAAUCCGCAUCAGCUCACCUGCCAAAUGCUGGAAGCAGAGGGGCUGGGUGAGGAAUAUGGCAUCAACCACAACAGGAUGAGUUGCAAUAUCUGACUCCACGCUACUUGGUUUUCCAGUUCUUCAUGCCUUGUGUCCAUACAGCUUAGAUCCAAGUCCUUGUCCUAAGGGAUGAUUUGAGAUGACCUUGGGGAAAGCACAGAGAAAAGACUUGGGUGUCCACAUGACCCAGCCUUGUGCACUUGGCUUAACUGCAACUUUUUUUGCCACCUGCCCUUUCAGUAGCAUUGCACAAUUAUCUCCUAGAAAAGCCCCAGUCUUGCCUGCUGUAAAAUCAGCUCAUAUUUUUUAAGGCAUCUUGAGAGUGGAUUAACUCUGUAUGCUGCACUGAGCUACUAGCAGCCUAUACCCAAGUGAUGCUGAUGCACAAAGCCUGGCCAGAGGCACAUCAAGCUUCAGGACAUCAUUCAAAUGCACACAGAAAGCCUGCAGCGGAGUUGCCUAUCUUAAGCAGGAUCCCUUAUACCUGUUUUUCCUGGCAAAAGUUUAUCCAGCCUGUGUUUAAAGACCCCCAAGGAUGGAGAUUUCACAGUCUUGAAUCUACUGAUGUUCUUGAUCCUCAUAAAUUUUUUCCUAUCUGGUUUGAAUUUUUCUUCGCAGCAAUUGUAAAGACAUUUCUUAAUCUACCAGUGAGGAUAGAUUGUACCAGUGCACUUUGCAGCAGCCUUUUCUGUACUCAAAGGCGGUUAUAUCCCACCAAGACUCUCUCUUUUGGCUCGUAAAUGUAACUCGAUCAAUCUGUCCUCCCAGGUUGUGUUUUCUGGAUUUCCAGCACUGCUUUCUGUUUUCACAAUGAGCCAUUGAUAACUGCUCUCUGGGUGCAUAUAUCUACAGCCUUGCCCCAACUCUCUAGCAGUUUUAUCUAGACCCAUGUUUCCUUCACCUGAUUAAGAGAGUGAAUAUGAGUCUCUGUCAGAAAAGCGCAAGCGCCAAUGAUGAAUCUAUUGCUUUUUCCUUCACCGUAAGGCUUGUUGCCUGUCACAGAGAUCCCACAACAAGAGUUCAAACGGCCACCAAAAGUCACACUUUACCUGGCCAAGAGCAGACAAAGGACUAGUUAAAAGUGGGGAUUAUUCAACCUGCUGGUGAGCGGGGUGACAGAAGGACUGAGGUGCCAGGUGAGGGGCACCCUGACCUGCAGCCAAACAGGCAUCACAAGCAAGAGGUGGAAUGUGUCUCUCCAGCAUCCCAUGCUCUCACUGUGCACUGUCUUCACAGCAAUACCAGCGGCCCCGUGACAGGUCGGUAAAUGCUGACAGGCAGCAGUUGCGACGUCUGCUCCCCUAAUUUAUGGAGUGAAUGACCUGUUGUCACCACGCUGAUAAUCAGGUUUUAAUUUCCUGCAUCCUCCUCUUCACAAGGCCAUGAAAUGUAAGGAGCAUCAUCCCUUGGAGCCUGCAUGGGAAUGGGACUCAUAACUUCCGGACAUCAUUUCUAGCUAUUUCUCCAACUCCAUCAGCAUUCCCAUCACCUCUGCAUGCCUCAGUGACCCCAUCUGACAAAACACUAACAUCUUCCUCGGUUCAUCCCUAGCUCACAAGGCAGUUUUCAAAAGAGGAAGAAAUCAUCAUCCUGAUUUUAUAGAUGGAGAAACUGAGGCCCAGCAAAGGAAAGCAACUUCUGUUAGCUUCCUGCAAGGCAUCAUGCCCUCGGCCGCACGGCUCUGUGCUCAGGGCUUGUCUGCCGGACCAGACAAGUGCUGGAGUGGAAAUAAAUAUUCCUCCUGAUGACUGUGGUCUCUGUGGUCAGGGCUGAGGGUCAAAAUGUUCACACAAGGCCUGCACACAGAAACCACAGAAUCCCCCACAGCUCUGCUGCACUUUAUUAAAAGUCACUGCUUCUGUGAAAAAUGGGGUUUAUAGGAGUUAGGUGCCUUAAUUAUAAAGUCAUGUGCGUUUGAAUGACUUCUUCCCUGCUAACUGUUUGUGACAGCCUACAAAUGCGAAAAGUAUUACCAAGCCUAUUUUUAAUGUGGCUAUGGAGAGGCUGUAGUUGUGGAAAACCCAAUCCUAGAGGAUCCUAAUGAGAAAGACCAGCGAUUCUUUGAAUAUGAUUAGCAUUGUCUGAGUUUAGCAAUGAAUGCCGGUGCUACCCAAAAACCAGGAGACACAGGAGUCUUGCGAUAGCAGUCAUGUGGUAAAUACGCAAUAGGAGCAAGUGGUGUGCAAGGCUAAAUUUUUCCCUGGGGAGUGGCCGAGCGGUUAGUAUGUGGAUUUCAGAAGGGUGCUGGCCCUUGUCAGCAGUGUGCAGGUUUCGCAUGUGUUUUCUGCAAGGCUCUAACCUCUUGAGAAUGUAUUGCAUUCCUGUUCUUUACCAGACAAACUGACAUCUGAAAAGGUGUGCGAACAGCAUGGGGUCCAGUGCUUUGUAGAACUGAGUCCUUGAUACUGCUUUUCUAUGGGUUAUGGCGGGCUUGAGGCCUGAAGCAUCAUCUUUAUCACCAAUUCUUGGCUGUAGGUUCUGCAGGGGAGGAGGAAAAAUAUGCAAGGUCCCUCCAUCAGCCUUAUUGCCUGCAUCCAGUAACAAGGGAUUUAGCCCUUUUUCUGACACUGGGUUAGACAUUGGGGAAGGAGAGCAGGCCAAAAGCGACAUUAAUGUUAGAGCAGUAAGUGUCAAACUCGGUUUGAAAGAAAAUGAAAAUGGUGAAAAGGAAAUAUUCCGAACAGGAGGAAAGAGAGAGAGAAUGCUGUUCUUUUUCAGUUAAAAGAUAAAGGUGCAGAAGAUGGAUUAAAAGAUGUCGUAGCUGUGGAUAAAAGUUUUAUCAUGAGUUAGUUUUAAGAUUGGUGGACACCGUUAUGGGCAUUUCCUCUGAUCAAACCUAUAACUCUAGUUUUACCUCCAACCCUGUGAUUCUUCCUCAGUCUGUGGCUUCUCAUGGGAUUAUAGAGACCAUGAUCUUGGCAUAAGGUCUUCAAAGAGUAGUACUUCAUCCCUGGAUAAAUUCUUUUAGUGCUUAAGUAACAGUACAAAAUUUACACCUUCUUUUCAGUCAACUAUGUUUAUCCUUAUUUCUCCACCAUUGAAUUAUGUCAAUUUUUAGUGAUAAAUGAGUUAGCUCCCCCUACCCCAGGAUCAGAAAUAUCCUACACAUAUAGUCCGUAAUGAAGUUGCUUCUUAACCAUUUCUUAAAUAAAUAAAAGACUAUAUUUCUGUAGGCCAAGGCAGAUUUUCUGAAGUUAAUUGUCAGAAAUCUAUGAACUUUUCCAGCUUCAUCAGCACUUAAAAAAAAAUGUAGUCAGCAAAGCUGGAUGUAGCAUUCCAAAAGCACUCCCACUCAUACCAUGGGCAAUGGUAAAAUCCCUGUGGUACUUAAAGCUUUUAUAGUCAAGGAAGGGUUGGUUUGCAUACAUCUUGGCCAUCACUUGACCUUGAGGGUCUCCUUGGCUUUGUGGAUAGUGGUAAGCAAUGGUGGGGGUCAUCCUUGGAGGCCACCAGAUGAGUACAGCCACACCAAUGCCAUUAACUUCUCCAUCAGCCAAACAGCAUGGACAUACCUAAAUUUCCUCUUAGAAGUGGGCUCUAGACCAGACCAGUUCUCAUAUUGUUAUUUGUGAUGUAUACCACACCUGUGUUUCUGUGUAUGUAGUGCAUCCCUAGGUGUAUAUAUAGUUACAUUUAUGAAGACAGUAUACCUGUGUGCCGAGGUACAAGAUGGAAGGUAGGUAUGCAUGUAAGUACAUGCACUUAGGUAUGAAUGUAUAUAUCUGCAACAUAUGUGCACACAUCAGCAUGUUCUUUUUUAAUAAGCGUUAAUAAAAUAUUAAUAACUGUCAAACAAGUUAGAUUAACUGUAUUUUCAAAAAAAUAGCAGAUCGUAACUCCUAGCUGGCUUGACAAGAAGCAAAUCUAGUAUAUUAAAUAUUUAAAGUCCCUAUGGUGUCCGGGUUACUCCCUUUAAAAAAAAAAUGACCAAGCCCUAAACCAAAAUACUGGCUAUCCAAGGCUGCAUGUAAUCUUGCUCCUAGAUGCUUCUGUGACUAAAACUCCUGUGGUGCAAGCAGCCAGCAAAGAGACUAUGUGGCAAUAUGUCUGCUUGUCUUCUGCAGCUCAGGUGAGUAAUGCUGAGGUCCAGAGCUGGCCUUCUGCAGAGGAUGAGUUUUCCCUUAUUCUUUGCUUAACAAGAGCUGAAAUCUGGGGUAGGAUCAUUAUGCCAAAGGACUGGAGUAAUGUCUAGAAGAGAGAUGCCUUCAGAACUUUAUUCCCCUAUCUUCUGAUUCAUCCAGACACUAGAUGCAAUUCCUUUGCCCCGAAGUGGAUUGGCAGUGGGAGAGAUAUGAAGACUGUGAACCAAAGAAAGGCAACAUCCUGCUUCCCCCUUUUUUUUAGCCACUUAGGAAAAACAGGUAGAUUUGGGCACCCAGUAUAUUUCUUGUAUGACCCUGCGAUGGAACCUUUUUUACUGCUUACAGAUCUGUGUGUUUGCGCUGCUGUGAGGAAUAGCAAUGCAUUCAUAGAGGUCUAAAGAAAGACACUUUAAGUGCAACAUUUCUUCAUCCCUUUAUCUUUUUAGCUGUAAGAAACUUUAUAAAAGCUUCAGAAUAAAAGCAUAUGUUAUUUAAAAUUCUGUAAAGAUAAAGAUUGAAUAUGAUGUUCAUGAGAUCUUUCACACCAUAACAGAAAAAAUAAGUGCUUUUGUUUUCAAGCCUUUCUCAUUUCUUUAGUUGGAUACCAUGAAUGUGCAACUGAAAAGAAUUCUUUCUCUUUGAAAUGCAGGCUGAGACUAAAGCACAUCUUAUCCCUUGAAAAAGCUGUCAGUACCAAGCUGUCGAGGCACUACCUGCAAUCAGACAGAGCAAAACUAAAAGCUGGCAUUUUGUCUGGAGAGAAGGAUGCCAUCCCUUUAUCAUGUGCAAAAUUGUGGCAUUCCAGAAAUACACCUUGAUUUUCCAGAUCGUGCAACAGACUUUCACGUGAAGUUCAAUAUUUAAUUCAGCCCUUUCAUGUAAAUCUCUGAGCUGGGCAAUUUGCAAGUGAAGGAAGUAAAAGAAUCCUAGCAAUCUGUUAUGAAAAGGCUGAUGAUUACAGCUGAGAUUCCUCCUGUAUGAGAAAACCAUCCUUUGGCCAACAGCACGGCUGCAUCUUGAAACAUCAAGCACAGUCUUUAUGUAAAUCUCAGCGUUCUUCUGCUUGUUCUGCUGCAAAAGCCAUUUUCACUGGGACACAGAAGGAAAUCCAGUAAGACAAGAGUAUCCCAAAUUUUUGGAGCUGCUGCAGUGGAGUUCAGUUCCCCCAACUUUGCUUUAAAGGGGAACAGCCACCCUCAAGUCCCCACUUCUUUGAUACAAGCAAGGCAGAUGAUUCGGGCAGUCAAGAGGAGGAAGGGACAAGGAACUGGAGGAGGACUGGAGCAAAGGAGCCUGGAGAAAUUUCACAGUUUGGCGCAAGGGAACUCUGGUUAUGCAACAGACUGGUGUGGAGUGGAGAGGGAGUCUCUUAUCCUCAGCCCAGACUAAUCCAAGUGCUGUGCUCUUCCUCUUUGCAGAAACACUAGAGGAGUUUCUAUUCUCUUUUGUGCAGUCAGUGAAUUCUCUGCGGGGAUCUCCAUCUAUCUGGCAGGUCACAUUACAGCUCUGCUUUUGUAACUGAUCUGUCCAUGGGUUUCUACAGAAGAAGUGUUAUUGAUGAAUUACUGCACAUGGCGCUGAGAGUUAUGUUGCAGAGUUGUUACUUUUCAGCUGGGGAGCUUUUCUGAGAACUUUCCAUGAUGUGCUGGACGGCUAAAGAGUUUUGGACAAUAUGUAGCAUACAGCUGCCAUAACUCAUGACCGAUAAACAGAGAGAGCAAAACGGACAGAAAAGUUGAAGAUCAAAGAUGCCAGCAGGACACGCAUAUCUGAACCAAAAAUUGCAAGGCUUGCUUUGAAGCCAGGACUCUCUCCUGUGCACUGAAAUGAGUUUCCAGCAAGGUGCAGGUGCAUGCCAUAUGAGCAGGAGGAACCCUGGGACCACAAGCCAGCAACCUGAUGACCACUGUGUGCUCAGUGCCCGGAGUAGAUUCAUAUCAAGGUUACAGGGAUUUCCACAAAAUAUGUUUGGAGGAGCCAAGGCUUCAACACCAGAAGUUUUUAGUCAGACCGUUGGAAUGAUCAAUAAAUCGGUACCAACUGAUCUCAGAGUCUGAGGAUGUCUACGAGGCACAGGCAGCUCUUUUAGAGCUACUGUGUUUGGGACGUUCCAGGACUGCUGCAAAUUGCUUCAAUUCUUUUCUGACGUGUCACUCACUAAAUGUUCAGGGAGCGUUUCUCUAAUCCUGUCCAGAUGAGCUGCGGAUUCCAAGAGGUUUCUGUUUUUGGAUGUAGGUUUCUGCCUAUAUGCUACUGUUGGGCUCAAGUUCAUUCAGAGGAAUUGCAUUAGAGGAGUGCCUCUGCACUGACCAUAAUCCAGCCCAGAGCUACAAUAGAAGACCAUGAUUUUCUCACCGGUUGUACCUCCCAUAUGGAAUCCAUUUCAGUGACAUGCUGAAGAGCUGAAAGACUGUAAUUACUAUGCUUUAAAUACUCACCAUCCUAGUAUCGUACAGAACACAGGGGAAGGAAGCAGCCUCACAGUAAUUCAUCUUAAUCUGAUGGUGAGGACGUUGGCAGGCCAACAUAAUGAAGGAACUGGACGGAGGGCUUGCAGGACUUACACAAAAGUUGUGUGGAGUACAGCGGGAUGGAGCUCCAGGCUUUGAGAUAAGAAUGGUAAUCAGAAAAGGUGAGGGUGACUGGGGUGAAGAAGCCUGAUGGGGUCAGUAGAAGGCUCUAUGCUUGGUGUCACAGAGGAAAACAAAUCUCUGUAAUGGAUAUAAUUGUCCCUAAAUUAUUCUGUAUGCUUCUGCUGCUGCUACUGACUGGUUUCCUCUGAUGUAUAACAUCAGUUUCUAUUUAUUUCAGGGUCAGAGAGUGAAUGCUUCACACUCCUGUAGUCCCUUCCAUGAUAUCCAUCACACUGGUAUCCAAAUAUUUCACUGACAUUAAAGCACUUGAAGGUCUUUGCAAUAUUCCUGAUGAAGAGAGGGAAGAAAGUGGGGCAAAGAAAAACCUGACUAAAAGUAGACCAUCAUUUCAGAUGCCCAGUUACUGGUAUCUGUGGCCUGCUUUUGCAGGGAUUACAGGAGGCCAAUUUAAAAUAAUUUCUGCAGCUUCAGAAAAUCUCGUAACUAGUUUGACUAGUUAGUUUUGGGGUAUUUUUAAAGUUACCCAAAUCUUAUUUUAUGUUCUUUUGGUGAAUAAAAGACAUUACAAAACGUGCACAUUCGGUACCAAUCCUAAUCAAGCCCUGGAACAAAUGUCAGUACUCUUUGCUCAUCAGUUUGGAGGAGCCUGAGGAGUAAGCAUGAGAAUCCCAGCAUAUUCUUGUUAAUAUUGGAUGUCACCAAAUCAUCAGGCCUCCAGCUCACCAGAAAAGUAGAAAAAGGGAAGAUGAGGAAAGAUGACCCAGAUUCUUCCUCAUUUCCCUUACGACUCUGAUGUAAUCUCAAGGUGUUCCAAGCCAGACAGGAUAAGAAAAUAUUUUUUCAUUACAGUGGUAGUUUUAAGACCAAAUGAAUCAUAUAUGCACUGUUCUCUGUUCUAGCCAAGAAAACCUUCUCAAGACACAACGUCAAGAAACAAGACUGUGAAUUAAGUAGAAAUUUUAGGAGAAAGUUAGAAGGCAGAAGACAGUGAGGUAGAGGAUGUGGCCCAGAAUUGGGAAUCUGGCACCGAGUUCUGUUCUUAGCUCUCCCAGCCCCUAGCUGGGUGCACAUCACUUUCCUUUCUUCACUCACCAGUUUUCAUGGAGCCCACAGGCUAUAGGGUAAGAACGUGAAUAGUGUCUGGGAAUAGAAAACAAACACUGAAGACCAGUUCAAAUCUGUGCAGAACUGGGUGAAGCUCCAUUACCAGGACUUUUUUCUUUGAGGAGAUGGGGGAGCCAUAUUCAGAUAGAUGCUGAUGUGUGUUCUUUCCAUUAACUCCAUCAGAAGUAAGGCGCUGGAUUUUUUUUUUAUUUAUUUUUUUUUAAUGACAGAUAGCCUGAAGUACUCUUUUUCUCUGUCAACAUAGAUGCCUCAGAGAUGCCCUGUGGCUCAUGAUCAAUGAAGAUGCUGAAGUCAACUCCCCACUGCAGAAGACCAGCUUAAACUAGCAUUCUCAGUGAAUCUUAGAUGUCAGCCAGGGAACGAGGUAGAAAAAAGUUACUAAUUUGUUUAUUUUUCUAUAACCCAAAGCAAAUUUGUAAAAGCAGCCAAGGUUCAUUCAAACUCUUAGACACUAAAUAUUUGUGAACAAUCAGAAUUACAGUAUUUUCCAAACAGCUUUAGCAUAGGAAAAAGCAGGUUGGAGGAAGGGUGGGAACAGAAAGACUUGCACAAAUACACAUGUGCCAGUAAUGCCUUUUUAGAGGAACUGGGGUCCUGGGCAUGAGAUGAGUUUGCUCUUCUUCAUCAGCAGUUUCUUUUCCUCUUUGCUUAGUUUAGGAAAUGAGUCUCCAAUGUUCUGUUUUCUUUUCUUCCAGAAAUCAGACAAUUAAAUCAUAAGCACAUGGUCAACGAAAAGAGCUGCUGACAUGCAAAUACAGAUAAACAGACUGGACCUCCAUCCUUGGAACUGUCUUACAAGGUGGUCUAGUGGGACCUACCGAGAUAUUUUUAGCUGUGACCUGAUAUGGUACUUCUGUGGUAAGGCCUGGCCCUUUUCACUAGGGCUUGUCUGGUUAUACUGCUAAAUUAUUAGAAGAAUCCCAGUAGGGCUUAAGUCAACUGUUACUCACCCGGACAAUUUCCAAGACACAGGUCAAGACUUGACAAAGGCCAGAACACUCUCCCAGCUGGCAGCUCUAUGUCUAGCCACAGUUGCUUUCAGAUCGCUCAGCCAUCCAGUGUGGGACCAUCUUGGCAUGUACGGAAGCAGCAUAGCGAUGAUAUUUACAAGGCCUUUACGAUCCACCUCCUUUCCCUGAAGCCCAUGGGUCCUCAUAGUUCAGGAUAUUAAGAUCACGCCUAAACCCCAGUCCUUUCUUUGAGACGGUUGCUACUCCUGGCACAACUCACAAGGUAUUUCCACCUAGCUGAAAAGCAGGCUCCCAGAUGUGUACUUCCCUCUUGUCUCACUGACUAGUUACUAGGUAAGGGGAACAUGUUUAAAUUAUUUAGGUGUCUUCAUGAGGAUGCAAGUCUUCCUGUUACUUAGUGUAGACAGAGUUAGUUACUUCCAGAAAGCAUCAUCUGAUGCAGGUGCUGAAAACGGAUGCUCAGCUUCAUCCUUGGAAGUUGGAUGUGUGUCUUGUCAUAGACUAUAGGGACCGUUUAGGAAGGGCAGCCACCCAGAACAGACCGCUACAGCAGCCGUUUUACACUGUGCUGUAUAAAUACUGCCCAAACAGUGGGCUGGAGGAAAGCUGAGCUCAGCGCAUCUGCUGGUGAGCUGUCUGUGGUAGAUCCAGUGUUUCCCAUGCUCACUGCACCCAAGCAGGAUGAAAAAUCUAUAUGUAUAUGAACAAUUAAUUUUACAUGAGCUCAUUCUAGGAUGGAGGGCUGGACCGCAUAUUAGAUGAAUGGGGGUUCAGGCCUACUUUUUCAGUGAAGUCUUGAACCUCUGCCAGCUCAUACCACUUGGGAAUCUGGCCUGUUGCUCCUUAUUUGUACAUUAACUUUACUUAAUUGGUAGAUUUUCCAUGCUUAAUGAUUACGAAUAUUUAAGCAGGAGUGUUUGUUUAUGCUUGUUUAAGCAGGGAAGGUACCAUUUCAAAGAAAAGACAUUUCAAGAAUGGCCUGACUGCAGUCCCGUGUAAAAUCAGAGGUUUGUGUCUCCCGCGUGAGUUGGUGGAGCACAGAGGGUGGCAUUCAGCAGCAGUUGGACAGCAUCUGCAGCUCGUGCAUUGGUGGGAGAUGAGGUCAAGUCUCGACAUAUUGUACCUACAUCCUUUUCCCCCAUGCCGCAGCUGUCUCUGAGUGACUAGAAAUGAACGCAGGUGGGAGUGAGCCAUAAGGAAAGUUUAGAGACCCAGAAAUAACUGAGUCCCCUCCCUGCGCCAGUGUCUUUGUGUGGGCCGUAUAUUGCAUAUGUAUUUUCUGGGGCAGACUCAGAUUCUUUUGAGCUUGGCACAUUCUGGUUAAGAUGAACGCAUCCAAGUGUUGACACAAAAGCUGACUACACCAUAUACCAUGGCCCCAUGCCACCUCCAGCUGGCCAGGGGCCGGGCUGGCAUUGGCUUUGGUUACUUGAUUUAAGGCAGCUAUAGAAAGAGGGAAGGGCAAAGGGUGCCUGAGGUGGGUUUACCUGGCAUCCCAGCUGGAGGAAAUGGCCUGCGUUCUUCUGCAGAAUAAGGAGAGAGGGAUGAGUAGAGGGAAAUAAAGUAAAUAAAGCAAGCCAAUGGCGUCAUUAAAAAGGGGGUGUAUCACAUUUACUGUGAGAACAUGUGACUCAGACAUCCAGACAUGAACAUUCCUCCAAAGCCCCAAAUGCACACAUGGAACCAAAUUUUUUUGGCUUCCCAGAAUGUCUUAAUUUUAUGAUUCUGUGACUCAUUAGAAAAAGCAAAGUCCCUAGACAUGCUGCAUCCAAAGUCCCUAGACAUGCUGCAUCAGGACCCAGUAAACACCAGUUGCUGGUGGGGACUCGGGGAUGAAGGAGCAGGUGAGGGAGGGAUGGAGGGAUGAAGGGGAGAGCGAAGGAACAAGACUCUUGUCUUCUCUCCCUGCCCCCCACUUUCUCCUUCUAGUGGUUUUGUAAACAUGUUUCUCUCUUUUCCUUUCUUUUUUUUCAGAUUGGAGUGGAGGGGUUAACAGAGGUCAUGUUAGUUUAAAAAAUUAUGGUUAACCUUACAAGCUGGGUUGCCUUAGGUCACAGUGAUACAAUCCCCCUCCCUUCUCCUGUGCAGCGGCGGUUCACAAAAAUUCCUCCAGCGCAGGGAAGGACGGGGCUGCCAAGGCUAUGAGCAACGCAGAACAGGCUUACCUGUUUUUAUACACUGCUUAACUAAUUAUUUUAAAAAGAAACAGCCAAGUUGGAACAACUACCUUUUUCUUCGAGGAGGAACAUUUUCCCCUUUUCCUUUUUUCCCCACGUCCCCCUUCUCCUCUCCUCCCUCCCUUUGGUUUUUUUUUCCCCUCUGUUGCUUGGCUUGGCGUUUGCAACAGGUUCUCGAUAUCUGACACCUCUUGAAAGUGUAGUUUGGCAAACAGGAAUCAAGCCCAGCUCCAAAAGGGCCCUGCAAAGGGCUCGCUGUGAAAACACCUGGGUGUCUCUUACGCCUCUAAGAACCAGCCCUGCUUCUGCAGAAAUAACAGCUGCCCUCUCCCUUCCCACCCCCCAGCCCCUGCUGUCCCUUCAAAAUAAAAUUAAAAAAUAAAUAAAAUGCUUGCAGUGUUUUUGUAAAAAACAGGUGGUUCAGGGGCGCUGCGGAAGGGGAUGAAGGCCAUCUCAGCACGAGUGUGCAAAAAUCCUGCGCAGGGAGGGCUUUACUUAACGCACGUACAUCUGCAAUUCGUUUUCCCAAGCUCAGGACAAAUUAAGAAUCUCCCAGCAAUUAGGGGAGAAAGCUUCAAAGUGCAAUCAGCAGUUCUUAAAAGAGCAUGUGCUGGGCUUGGAGGGAGGCUAAUCCCACUGCCUGUGCUGGGCUCCUCUCUGCAGUGUGCAUUUUCCAAGGCCAAAAUUUUGGCCUGCUUUUCAGUCACACCAUAUAAAAUAACAAACACGCAGUCUAAGGAAAACAAUUUUUAAGACACAGUGGAACCCACUUUAAUGAAGAAAACUGUUAAAUGCAUAAAACCCCCAUGUGCCAAUGGAUAAAUGUGCUGGAAGUGUGAACUGUUAAACCAACAAAAUUGUUAACACAUCAUACUGCUGGGCAAAAAAAUAAAAUAAAAAAAAUAUAAAAAGGGAGUGAAACGGUUUUCUAACAUGCAACCCACUUUGCCUUUAUUGUUCACAUUCCUGCUGACAUAAAGUUUCCUGAUUUGUCCCCGGGGCCCAGAAAUAUGGCAAAAGCGGGAACAUUAAUUGUAUUUGCCCCCUUUAAACUGCCCUCCCUGCUUUUUAGCUCACAGUGGCCAAGAAUAGCUUCAUGGAAUGGGGAGGGUUUGCCCUUUUUUAUUUAGGGUGAUGAGUGAACAAGUUCAUGUGGAUAUUUUUUUAAAAUUUUUUUUAAACUAGCAUAAAACAUUAAACUAUGCUUGAACAUCUUUUUUUCCUGUAUCUGUGGGGAAAAUCAGGACUAGUUUUGCAUUUGCUGUUUCUUAAAAUUCUGAAGUCCUUCCACGUUCAUGGUUUUCCUUGGGGUCGAUGCUGAAAUGAGGCUGUUCCUGUGGCCUCUAUGCUCCCUCCAAAGAUGUGAAGCUCUCAAUGAGUAAAAGCCUGAUCUCGUGAGAGCCCUGAAGGCAAACACUUUGAUAAGUGUCCAACCCUGUGGCCGUGCUGGCUUGGUGGAACCUGGAUCCCUGCCUCACUCCGAAACAUGAGAAACUAAAAUCAGUCCAUUGAAUUUAUCUUCAUCCGACUCCUAAAUUACAUGCUGUUCACAGAUUUCAUUUCCGCAGGUGGUCAAAAUUUUCCACCAGAAUGUGAUUUCCACAGAAGAUGGGCUUUUGUCACAAAUUAAGAUUUUCCCUGGAAAAAAAAAAAUUAAAAAAAUGCACCAAACCACAUCUUUACUGAGCACUGAACUUUUCUUAUCAAAAAGUUUUCCAAAACUAGAAGGGUCUGCAGAAAGGAAUAAGUUGAUGUUUCUUGCGUUUAUGUUUCCUUUAAUGAGAAAACAAGAAAAAAAUGUGUAGUAAAUUCAAAUGAAAAUUAAGAAGUUAAUAAAAACACUCAUAAGGGGAAAAAUUUAAAAUAUUCAUUUCUGUUUCAUAAAAUGAUUCUUAAAAUUUUACAUUUUAAUUGUACAUCUUAAAUGUACAUCUUAAAAUUGCAGCAGCCGUUCAGCUAGGGUCUGUGCUGCUGUUUGCCUACCCCAGGGCCCUUUUAGGUGCUGCUCUAUGAAUACAGGUAUGAAAGUGCAUUUAUGAUGACUAAACUCCAACUGUGAACUGCGACAAUGAGGAGUUUAUUCCUGCAGUUCAGAAUGUUCUCACUUUUCUUCACUUUUCUGUGUCCCUUGCAAAAUAACACGAGGUCGUGCCUGGCUUGAGGAUGGCUCCUCUUUUUCUUGGCACUUGCUGGUUUUGCUUCUUAGACUGGUGUUUCCAAAGACAUUCCAGUCCCUAAGGGGCACUAAAUAUGUCUUGCGUUGCAGAGUCUCCACAGGGCGGCUUUGCAUUUCCAAUGUGCUUGCAUCUCUUGCUCCUGAGGAGGCUCGGUGGCUGUGUCGUGUAUUUGAGACUGCUUUACACACCAAAUAACCUGAAACCAGAGUCAAGUUUUGUUGUAGUUAAGCAAAAGAGUUAAGUUCUGGGUUACAAAAAAGGAAGUUACACUGCAACAGAAGAUUAUAAGCCUUAAAAUCUGACACUGGCCUCUUCACUGCUUUGCAUUUAGGGACUAACCCUGGGGCCCUUUCUAAAGGUCAGCCCACUGAGAUCUGGCUGUUUUGUCCCAGUUGCAGGUGAAAACCAUUAGGGUGUCACUAUGCAAGCAAUGCAUAGGUUGCUGUCACGCUCUCCACUCUACCAUUGCCAAGGUGCAUUUUUAACCUCUUCUGCUAAUUAAUUUCUGGGGCAGCAGUUUUGGUGUCUCCUGAUGAUGAGGCUGCAGACAAAGUGUUUCAGAGUCGUUUAAGCCUGGCUUUGAAAUGAGCCCUUUAAGAUGGGUGGGUGAUCACGGGAGCUCUCUUUCUGCAAAGAAAGCAUGAGAGUGUCCCACUCCCUCUUUCCAGGCUGACUGCAAUGUCUCUCACCUAAUAUCAGCAACCAAAAAGUCAAGUGUCUUGUGUAGCUACUUGUUCCAGCUUCCCUUUAUUAGUGGAGGGAGAUGGAGGGCUACUCAUCCCCAUCUUGAAAUAUAAAUCCUAUCUUUGCCAUUAACUUAUGGCCUUCCUCAAGCUUUCAACACAACAUGUAGUUGCAUACCAUUGGAAAUGUUAUCUGUGUAACAUUUUUUAUUAUUAAGCAAUCCGAGGUAUAGUGGUGCAUUUCCACAGAGACCACCCACAACUGCUGGUUACAGUGUCAGGAUGGGGAGAGCUUCAGUUCUUUUUUUUACCAUUUAUAAUAUCUUGGGCUGCCACAGGGGCUUCAAAGCAGGAGCUGUGUGAUCCACUGAGGUCAUCUUGCUAUGGCAUGAGUCACAGUCCCCUUUGCACAAAAUGAGAGUAAUCAUAAAAAUUCUGGGCUAGAAAGAGCAUCGAACUAUUCCCUUGCUUUGUGGCUGGGUCAGGAAAUCUGGUUUACUCCUGACAGAUGUCUGUAUAAUCUGUUCUUAAAGCCCCCCAAAGCCUUCCACAGUAAAUCACUUUGAGAUCUAAAGGUGAAAAAUGCUAUGUAAGACCUGAAUAUUGUUAUUAUUAUUAACAGUGUUGUUUGGAGGACAGCUUAGCAGCACAGUCCCAGAUGGCACUUUUAAAAAGAGUCCAGAAGGAAUGAGUUAUAGCGAGUUUCACCAGUCCUGGUGGAAGUGCUGAGCCAGUGCUGCUGGUUGUCCUGCCUGCUGCUGGAUUAGUCUGAAAUUAAACUCCACAGCCUUUGCCUGUGUUCACACAGAGGCCAAGGACUGCCAAGGGCUACAGGGCUGGAUUGCUCUACUGAAGCCACUGCUGUCAUUCCUGAAUGAUGCUUGUUGUGAAGCAAACUGGGUGAUGCUAUUGCGGUCCCUUCUGCAGGUGCCAUGUGCAGAAUGCACGGAGUAUGCAUCUGCUUCCCCCUUCAGAAACAUGGUCCAUGGUGCUCAGUUGAACUGGCUACGUAACUGGGAAAGCUGGUAAUUGUGUAUCUGCUCCAUGGCAAAUGUGGGCACUGAUCCUGCACUGUGGAUCCUUGGCCUCAAUAUAUACAAAUUCUGAAAUAAAAUUGCCCCUCAGCUCCCAACCAGAGUGACCCUCUGUUCAUUUAGUUUCCAACAUGCUCCAGAAAAUCAUAUGUAUAGUCAAAUAUAGGCCUAUCAUUAAAAGUGCUCUGGGCAAGGGAUGUUCUAUCGGCCCCUCCAUCUUUGUCUCCUACCUACUAGAUACCUCACUAAACCUCACGGUUUCCCUCUUCCCCCAUUGCCCCUGGUGCCACCCCAACCAUACUCAGCUCUAACUGGCAAACGAAUGAAACCAUUCUCAGAAGCUGAAGGUGGCCAGCGUUUGGACUAAGGGUUUCAGCCUUUGCACUCAAAGCUUGAGGAUUUUGAGUAGAAGACAGUAAAUUUAAGUAUGGUCUUGGAGAAGUUUCCUUUCUAGCUAGUAAAUCUAACUCUGCCAAGACACAGGUUCAGGCACGGAAACUCAGGUGCAGACCCUGGCAUCUGUAGGUGAUACCUAACACCUCCUGAAGCUCACACAAGCCAGAAACUGUUCCUGAUGUGGGUUGGAUGUGGCUGUCCUGUUUGAGAGACUAAAAAAGCUGAAUGGUAUGGAUGCACCUAGGCAGUGCUCUUUAGACUCCAAACUAAUGAACAGAUCCAUUUACUUCUGGGUCUCUAGCUAUAUAGUAAAUGAAAGAGGAAAAAACCCAGAACAGUUUGCCUAGUUUUUAUUCUUAUAGAAAAUUGUAUGGAAUCAUAUCCCUCUUAUCAUAUCACAUUGAAAAGCACAAUGUAUCCAUAUGAAGAUGUUCAUUCCCUUUUGAAUUUUGGAGGAGGGAAGGUGUUACACCAUUUUAACCAAAUAUAUUUGAUCAAGUUUAUGAAAAAAUCUGUGAGACUUUCCUUGAGAAAAAUUAGGGUGCUGCGCCCAAAUUUAACUUUGUCAACAGCUGCCUACACAAAGCUGGUGUGGUGUCCAGAGAUGCAGACUGAAGGCAGGACGGCAGCAAGGCACAACUGUGCACUGAGCAUGUCGCUCCGAGUGAGCACUCUCGACCCUCGGCAGCAGGAGCACAAAACCCGUCUCUCUUCUUUUUCAUGUGGACUAUCAUGUCCUUGUCAUGGGAAUCGGAGAUCACGUCUGUGUAUCCUGGUGAAUAACUUAAUCUGGCUCCGCUUCUUGCAUUUGUGCUGAGCAACAUGGUGUCUUGUCUCCUGGUACGUGCCUGGGAUUACAGCGGUUAAAGAAGCUGCUGUAUUUUGGCCUGGUAUUUGGCACACCUGGCAGAGAGGAUCCUUGCUUCGCCUGCAUAUUUAUUUCAGUAGACAGACAAUCUCCUCAGAUGGUUAAAUGUGCACAAUAUCCCCAGCCAAACACCAAAUUACCUUCCUGUGCUCAGGCUCCCGUAUCUGCCGUGGGGCUGUGCACUGUCAGAAGGUUGCCUGGCUCUCAGUAUUCUUGCAUUUAUGCCACAGUAACCAGUUUAGAAAAUAGGCAGGUAUACAAAAACAGUCAUAUAUGUGAAAGAAUCCUCUAAAACAAUGACCAAGUGUUUGUUGCCUUCACAUUUCUAUAGGUGAAAUCAUAGGUUUAUUAGAACUGGCAUAACUACUCCCCAGGCAUCUAGUCUGUGUUCUCCUUUCUUUAGCCAGGGCGUGUUUUACUUCAGUUACCAGCCUUCGAAGAGGAAAAAAUUUGGAUCUUAAUUCCUCCCUGGCUUAAACCUUUGUAUUUUUUUGACUGUAGAUUUAUGUUCCAAGAACUUGGAUUUACAUAAAGACGUAUCUAUUUGCACAUAAUUUGCAAGAGUUCCUUUUAGCCUAUAAUUGUGCUAAAUACAGUUGUGGAGGCCACAGCAUACCUAAAGUAUUGCCGAAUGGAUUUUUAGGAGUAAUUUUUUUCAAAAGUGUGCUAAAAUAGAAAGAUCGGAGGGG